rnacentral:rRNA from 1 species
UAGGGAAUCUUCGGCAAUGGGGGGAACCCUGACCGAGCAACGCCGCGUGAGUGAAGAAGGUUUUCGGAUCGUAAAGCUCUGUUGUUAAGGAAGAACGAGUGUGAGAAUGGAAAGUUCAUACUGUGACGGUACUUAACCAGAAAGGGACGGCUAACUACGUGCCAGCAGCCGCGGUAAUACGUAGGUCCCGAGCGUUGUCCGGAUUUAUUGGGCGUAAAGCGAGCGCAGGCGGUUAGAUAAGUCUGAAGUUAAAGGCAGUGGCUCAACCAUUGUAGGCUUUGGAAACUGUUUAACUUGAGUGCAGAAGGGGAGAGUGGAAUUCCAUGUGUAGCGGUGAAUUGCGUAGAUAUAUGGAGGAACACCGGUGGCGAAAGCGGCUCUCUGGUCUGUAACUGACGCUGAGGCUCGAAAGCGUGGGGAGCGAACAGG